GACGAACGCUGGCGGCGUGCCUAAUACAUGCAAGUAGAACGCUGAAGGAGGAGCUUGCUUCUCUGGAUGAGUUGCGAACGGGUGAGUAACGCGUAGGUAACCUGCCUGGUAGCGGGGGAUAACGAUUGGAAACGAUAGCUAAUACCGCAUAAGAGUAGAUGUUGCAUGUCAUUUGCUUAAAAGGUGCACUUGCAUCACUACCAGAUGGACCUGCGUUGUAUUAGCUAGUUGGUGGGGUAACGGCUUACCAAGGCGACGAUACAUAGCCGACCUGAGAGGGUGAUCGGCCACCCUGGGACUGGGACACGGCCCAGACCCCUACGGGAGGCAGCAGUAGGGAAGCUUCGGCAAUGGACGGAAGUCUGACCGAGCAACGCCGCGGGAGUGAAGAAGGUUUUCGGAUCGUAAAGCUCUGUUGUAAGAGAAGAACGGGUGUGAGAGUGGAAAGUUCACACUGUGACGGUAUCUGACCAGAAAGGGACGGCUAACUACGUG
rnacentral:rRNA from 1 species